AUACCCGCAGCCCGAGUGGUGGCCACUUUUAUAGGGCCUAAAGCGUCCGUAGCCGGCCCGGUAAAUGCCUGGGUAAAUCGUGGGGCCCAACCUCACGAAUUCCGGGCAGACUGCCGGGCUAGGGACCGGAGGAGGGAGAGGGUACUCCAGGGGUAGGGGUGAAAUCCUGUAAUCCCUGGAGGACCACCGGUGGCGAAGGCGCUCUCCUAGGACGGGUCCGACGGUGAGGGACGAAAGCCAGGGGAGCGAACCGGAUUAGAUACCCCUGUAGUCC
rnacentral:rRNA from 1 species